rnacentral:rRNA from 1 species
CUUAUUUUAUGCUGGUGUAUAUCUGGUUUAAUAUUAUUGUUUAGUAACCUUUAAUUUGUGUAUAAUUAUAAUUUAAGCUAAGUCUAUGUGCUGCAUAUUUAAGUUUUCAUGCGUUACAAUAAUAAUACUUAUAAGUGUAAUCUAUAAGAAUUUAGGACUUGAUAGUAAUAUAAAAUUAGUUUGUAGAUGUGAAUCAGGUUUAGCUUGGGUACACACCGCCCGUCACA